CCUACGGGAGGCAGCAGUGGGGAAUAUUGCACAAUGGGGGAAACCCUGAUGCAGCGACGCCGCGUGAGUGAAGAAGUAUUUCGGUAUGUAAAGCUCUUUCAGCAGGGAAGAAAAUGACGGUACCUGACCAAGAAGCACCGGCUAACUACGUGCCAGCAGCCGCGGUAAUACGGAGGGGGCAAGCGUUAUCCGGAUUUACUGGGUGUAAAGGGAGCGUAGACGGCAGGGCAAGUCUGGAGUGAAAGGCGAGGGCUUAACCCCCGGACUGCUCUGGAAACUGGCAGGCUGGAGUGCAGGAGAGGUAAGUGGAAUGCCUAGUGUAGCGGUGAAAUGCGUAGAUAUUAGGAGGAACACCAGUGGCGAAGGCGGCUUACUGGACUGUAACUGACGUUGAGGCUCGAAAGCGUGGGGAGCAAACAGGAUUAGAUACCCGAGUAGUC
rnacentral:rRNA from 1 species